CAAUAUCAAUUGGUAUUGGAGUCUCUUUUAUUAACUUAAUAUUCAAUUAAUUACAGAAUAUACUCCUUGUACAAAACAACUCUAACUAAGUUUGGACACUACUGUCCCUUGUUGCACAACAACAACCCUUGCACCACUGCAACCUUCAGAAUCUGCUUUGCACUAACUUAUCCGCCACUGAAUCAAUCACAAACCACAGUAGGCUUGCAUACAAUUUUUGAUUAAGAACGAAUAUUAUUACAAUAACUAUGAAUUUCUAACAACAAUAAAUUCAUAGCAAGGCAAGAUCAGAUUGCUAGAAAUUUUUCAAU
rnacentral:lncRNA from 1 species